UUUUAGAAACCUGAAUAGGAAUCGGUUUCGACCCGAAAACAAGUAAUUAAAUUUAUUUCUAGAAU
rnacentral:tRNA from 1 species